rnacentral:rRNA from 1 species
AUUGAACGAUGGCGGCAGGCUUAACACAUGCAAGUCGAGCGAGCGGCGGACGGGUGAGGAAUGUCUGGGAAACAGCCAGAUGGUGGGGGGUAAGUACGGGAAACGGUAGCUACUACCGACUACCAUAAGAUGUGCCCAGAUGGGAUUAGCUAGUAGUUGGGGUAAUGGCUCAGCUAGGCGAAGAUCCCUAGCUGGUCUGAGAGGCUGACCAGCCACACGGGAACUGAGACACGGUCCAGACUCCUACGAGCGGCAGCCGUGGGGCAUAUUGCACAAUGGCCGCUGGCCUGAUGCCUCCAUGCCGCGUGGGUGAAGAAGUAAUUCGGGUUUCAAAGCACUUAUAGCGAGGAGGCGUGACUCUCAGAAGAAGCCCCGGCUAAUUCCGUGCCAGCAGCCGCGGUAAUAC